rnacentral:rRNA from 1 species
AUGGCAUAUAUAAAGCAUGGGGCAUAUCAUUUUAAAAUGGAUGAGUAUCCUCCCGAUGAGUCGGUGACCCAUCCACGCAAGUUUCAGUAUUAUUGGUUUAAGAGCUUCCCUUGGUUAGAAUAUUCACCGGAUAAAGAUGCAGUCUACUGUUUUCCAUGCUUUUUAUUUUGUAAGAAGCCACUUGGAAAGAAAGGAUCUGAUGUGUUUACAGUGAAAGGAUUCAAAAAAUGGAAGAGAGUUAAUGACGGAGAGAGAUGUGCAUUCUUAACUCACAUGGGAAAGGACAGUAAAUCUGCUCAUAAUUAUGCUGCAAAAUGUUACGAUAAUCUGAAGAAUAAGCCAUGUCAUAUGGAACCAUUAGUGGUGAAGCAAACAGAUGGGGAUAUCAGAAGGAAUAGGCUGCGGCUUAGAGUAACCUUUGAUUCACUACGGUGGUUAGCAUUCCAAGCUUGCCCCUUCCGAGGACAUGAUGAAAGUCUUGAUUCGAAGAACCAAGGUAAUUUCCUUGAAAUGGUGAAACUGAUAGCUUCUUAUGAUGAGGAAAUUGGUGCUGUAGUGUUGGGUAAUGCUCCAGGCAAUGCUAAGUACACAUCGCCUACAAUUCAAAAAGAACUUCUAGGUAUCAUUGCUUCUAAGGUGCAAAGUGAAAUCCGUAAAGAAAUAGGAGAUGCUAAGUUAUGCUUGCUUGUUGACGAGUCAAGAGAUGAAUCCAAAAGAGAGCAAAUGGCAGUAGUUAUUCGUUUUGUUGAUAAACCUGGUUUCACUCGUGAGCGUUUUCUUGAUAUUGUUCAUGUUGCUGAUAUAUCUUCGGCUACACUAAAAGAAGAGAUAUCUUCUGUUUUGGUUCAACAUCAGUUAGAUGUGAACAAUAUUCGCGGCCAAGGAUACGAUGGUGCUAGUAACAUGCGUGGAGAGUGGAAUGGACUACAAGCAAAGUUCAUGGAGGAGUGUCCUUAUGCAUAUUAUAUCCACUGUUUUGCUCAUCAGUUGCAGCUAGCUCUUGUUGCUGCAUCAAAAGAAGUAGCCGAUGUUCACAACUUUUUUGAUCAUCUUGCUCUUGUUAUCAAUACGGUUGUGUCUUCUAGUAAGAGACAUGAUGAGUUGCAAGCAAAUCAAGUUGCGGAAAUGGAGCAUUUGAUUGAGCUCGGUGAGCUUGAAACUGAAAGUGGGGCUAAUCAAGUCGGAACUUUACAACGGCCUUGUGAUACUAGGUGGAGUUCACACUAUGCUUCUGUUUGCAGCCUUGUGAAAUUGUACAAACCAACAUUUUUGGUACAUAAAAGCAUUGCAACUGCUAAAGGAUCUGGUACUUCACCUUCCGCACGAGCAAAGGCUUCUGGUGCUGUUAAUUUGAUGAUGUCUUUUGACUUCAUAUUUAUUCUGCAUGUCAUAAAGAACUUAUGGAAAUCACGGACAUGCUAUGCAAAAAGUUGCAACAAAAGUCUCAAGAUAUUGUGA